rnacentral:rRNA from 1 species
GAUGAACGCUGGCGGCGUGCCUAAUACAUGCAAGUCGAGCGAACGGACGAGAAGCUUGCUUCUCUGAUGUUAGCGGCGGACGGGUGAGUAACACGUGGAUAACCUACCUAUAAGACUGGGAUAACUUCGGGAAACCGUAGCUAAUCCCGGAUAAUAUUUUGAACCGCAUGGUUCAAAAGUGAAAGACGGUCUUUCUGUCACUUAUCGAUGGAUCCGCGCUGCAUUAGCUAGUUGGGAAGGUAACGGCUUACCAAGGCGACGAUGCAUAGCCGACCUGAGAGGGUGAUCGGCCACACGGGAACGGAGACACGGACCAGACUCCUACGGGAGGCAGCAGUAGGGAAUCUUCCGCAAUGGGCGAAAGCCUGACGGAGCAACGCCGCGUGAGUGAUGAAGGUCUUCGGAUCGUAAAACUCUGUUAUUAGGGAAGAACAUAUGUGUAAGUAACUGUGCACAUCUUGACGGUACCUAAUCAGAAAGCCACGGCUAACUACGUG